rnacentral:rRNA from 1 species
AGAGUUUGAUCCUGGCUCAGCUCGAACGCUGGCGGCAUGGCUAAAACAUGCAAGUCGUGGGCGAAGCCCUUCGGGGUGGAGACCGGCGAAAGGGCGAGGAAUACCUUGGAACGUACCCGGAGGUGGGGGAUAGCGUCGGGAAACUAGCGGUAAUACCCCAUGUGCUCCAUGGAGGAAAGCUUCGGCGCCUUCGGAGCGGCCAAGGUCCUAUCAGGUAGUUGGUGAGGUAAAGGCUCACCAAGCCAAUGACGGGUAGCGGGUGUGAGAGCAUGACCCGCCGCAUCGGAACUGAGACACUGUCCGGACACCUACGGGUGGCAGC